UGCAGUCGAGCGGUAGCACAGAGAGCUUGCUCUCGGGUGACGAGCGGCGGACGGGUGAGUAAUGUCUGGGAAACUGCCUGAUGGAGGGGGAUAACUACUGGAAACGGUAGCUAAUACCGCAUAACGUCGCAAGACCAAAGUGGGGGACCUUCGGGCCUCAUGCCAUCAGAUGUGCCCAGAUGGGAUUAGCUAGUAGGUGGGGUAAUGGCUCACCUAGGCGACGAUCCCUAGCUGGUCUGAGAGGAUGACCAGCCACACUGGAACUGAGACACGGUCCAGACUCCUACGGGAGGCAGCAGUGGGGAAUAUUGCACAAUGGGCGCAAGCCUGAUGCAGCCAUGCCGCGUGUAUGAAGAAGGCCUUCGGGUUGUAAAGUACUUUCAGCGAGGAGGAAGGCAUUAAGGUUAAUAACCUUGGUGAUUGACGUUACUCGCAGAAGAAGCACCGGCUAACUCCGUGCCAGCAGCCGCGGUAAUACGGAGGGUGCAAGCGUUAAUCGGAAUUACUGGGCGUAAAGCGCACGCAGGCGGUCUGUCAAGUCGGAUGUGAAAUCCCCGGGCUCAACCUGGGAACUGCAUUCGAAACUGGCAGGCUAGAGUCUUGUAGAGGGGGGUAGAAUUCCAGGUGUAGCGGUGAAAUGCGUAGAGAUCUGGAGGAAUACCGGUGGCGAAGGCGGCCCCCUGGACAAAGACUGACGCUCAGGUGCGAAAGCGUGGGGAGCAAACAGGAUUAGAUACCCUGGUAGUCCACGCCGUAAACGAUGUCGACUUGGAGGUUGUGCCCUUGAGGCGUGGCUUCCGGAGCUAACGCGUUAAGUCGACCGCCUGGGGAGUACGGCCGCAAGGUUAAAACUCAAAUGAAUUGACGGGGGCCCGCACAAGCGGUGGAGCAUGUGGUUUAAUUCGAUGCAACGCGAAGAACCUUACCUACUCUUGACAUCCAGAGAACUUAGCAGAGAUGCUUUGGUGCCUUCGGGAACUCUGAGACAGGUGCUGCAUGGCUGUCGUCAGCUCGUGUUGUGAAAUGUUGGGUUAAGUCCCGCAACGAGCGCAACCCUUAUCCUUUGUUGCCAGCGGUUCGGCCGGGAACUCAAAGGAGACUGCCAGUGAUAAACUGGAGGAAGGUGGGGAUGACGUCAAGUCAUCAUGGCCCUUACGAGUAGGGCUACACACGUGCUACAAUGGCAUAUACAAAGAGAAGCGACCUCGCGAGAGCAAGCGGACCUCAUAAAGUAUGUCGUAGUCCGGAUUGGAGUCUGCAACUCGACUCCAUGAAGUCGGAAUCGCUAGUAAUCGUAGAUCAGAAUGCUACGGUGAAUACGUUCCCGGGCCUUGUACACACCGCCCGUCACACCAUGGGAGUGGGUUGCAAAAGAAGUAGGUAGCUUAACCUUCGGGAGGGCGCUUACCACUUUGUGAUUCAUGACUGGGGUGAA
rnacentral:rRNA from 1 species